UAUGAAUUCCAGAUUUGAUUUCAGACUCUGGGGAUGUAUAUUCCUCUUUUGGAACUUGUAUAUCCGGUCCUGGGAUGAAAAAAAGGUGGGGGGGGGAGGGAAGGGGGAGGGUCCCCAGCAUAACAAGCAUUCCUUGUGCUCCUUCUCUUUCACACGCUGAGCACGCCGGGAGGGACGAGAGCGCACACACACACGCACAGCGUCUGGAUAAACUCAGCCCGAUGCGCUUCGGAACUCAGAAGGACUUCAUUCUAAAACAGUGCUGAAGAACGUGAAGCACGAGGGUUCAGAAAGUUCACAAUGUGUAUCCUGAAAAGACUUACGCGUGGAUUUCAAAUUUUCGCACCAAAAUAAACUUAGCUUUGAAUUCCAUUUUCCACACACUUGCUCAAGUGCCCACCUAUAGUAACUUUCCUUUGAUCAGGUUGAUGUUUCCAAAGCGCUAGUCCCUUGGAUGCUGGCCUGGGGCGACCGUCCCGUGGAUGGCUUGUGCUUCAUUUCAUGAAUGACCAUUGAACAAGCUGGUUCUGAAUGCCUAGCCGGGUCCUGCAAGCUGCUUUUCUGGAAAAAUAAUUCGUGGCUCGCUCUGAAACAUCUGCUCUGAGCGACUUCCCAUGCUCCAAUGUACUCCUUUGGAGAUUACAACUCAGAUUGUACUUGCUGCGGUCUCGCACUUGGAUGACUCACGUUAGCCUCGUUGCUACUCCUCUGUUGCCCGCACUUCCUGUGAGAAGCAGCUACCGUGGCCUGGGAGAACCAUCAGAGAAGAUGGGGACCCCAGCUGCUCAGAGAGCCGACUGGAACUUGACCUCGCAGCUGGCACAUUUAACACAGACCCAAACAAUGCCAAACGUCUCAGCCGUGUGGAUGGUUCUGUUCUGUGCAACCGUACCCCUGAGUUUUCAACCAGCAGUCAAAGACAUCAUGAACCUGCCCACUACAUCAGCUGCAUGUGAGGCUCGGAAGCCGCAUAGCUUCCAGGCUCUACCACCGUCCAAAGUGUCACCGUGUUGCAAAGCUUCCCUCCCAACAAUCUUGGAGGACGGACCACGUGGAAGACACAGCAGCUGGUGUUCCCAGAGAGACGACAACCAGAUUUUGGUGUGCGCGAGUAACAGUCUCCCAGGAUGCCUCUGCUUUUGCUUCAAGCAUGAAUUAUUUAUUUACUUAAUAGAAUGAAUAAGUACCAGGCCCGCAGGGAAGAUCUCACCCAGGGCAGUGCAGAUGUGCUGCGAAUCCUUGCAAGUUGGCCUCGGUAAGCCUCAAGCAGGGACAGGCAAGGGUUCAGAGUUUUGUUUUUCAUUGUUUUUUUCUUCUCCCCCCUCCUAUUGAAAAGGCCAAAACCAAAGAUGUUUUAAAGGAUGCCACGGCAGCAAGCCAGAGACCCCGGCUAGUGGGGCCUGGCCUCACUGAGAUGAGGGUCCCGCUGGGCCAGCCCUCGGCACCUUGUGGUCCCAUCCGCCCGCGGGCAGGCACGUUCAGCCCAAGUCCUCCUGCCGGAACCCACCGGCAGGCCGGGCGUGCGGAGAUGCGCACAUCUGACUUACUGGAAGAGAAACCACAUCAGAAAGCCUGCGACACGACAGCGCUGAGGCACCAACCCCACAUCAGAAUGCUUGGGCUGGCUGAGAAGCCCUGAAAUGUCGUGUGUAUUCUUCACUGGGAAUUAAGAACAUGUGGGCCCACUCCUAAUUAUAGCCCACCCUAACGUGUCUUUAAUUAGGGAUUGAGACACUUGGGCUGGAGGGGCCAGAUUGGAUUCAGCUACGAGAUGCAAGCCGCAUUUACUGGGUCAAACUUCCAGCAAACUUAAGUGGCCUGAACACAGUAGGUACUCCAAAGUUUUUUUUAUGAUGACAGUGAUGAUGAUAUGUGUGUGACUUACAGUGACAGGAUGAAAAUGAAGCCAAGUUUAUUCUGCUGGCUCUUUAGAGAAUGUAGACGUAGACAAGAGGACUUCAAAACGUUCACGAACAAUGGAAUUAAAAGAUAAGUUCAGGGGCCAGCGUUGUGACAUGCAGGGUCAAGCAAUGCUGGCGUCCCAUGUUGGAGCACUGGUUUGAGUCUCAGCUACUCCACUUCCCAUCCGGCUCCCUGCUAAUGCACCUACCCAGGAUAUUCACUCUCAGAAUUUGCUGUGUGUGUGCCUUGGAGUCGUUCAAUUCAGAUAGUACUCGCA
rnacentral:lncRNA from 1 species